rnacentral:rRNA from 1 species
CUGCUUCCUGACGAGUGGCGGACGGGUGAGUAAUGUCUGGGAAACUGCCUGAUGGAGGGGGAUAACUACUGGAAACGGUAGCUAAUACCGCAUAACAUCGCAAGACCAAAGAGGGGGACCUUCGGGCCUCUUGCCAUCGGAUGUGCCCAGAUGGGAUUAGCUAGUAGGUGGGGUAACGGCUCACCUAGGCGACGAUCCCUAGCUGGUCAGAGAGGAUGACCAGCCACACUGGAACUGAGACACGGUCCAGACUCCUACGGGAGGCAGCAGUGGGGAAUAUUGCACAAUGGGCGCAAGCCUGAUGCAGCCAUGCCGCGUGUAUGAAGAAGGCCUUCGGGUUGUAAAGUACUUUCAGCGGGGAGGAAGGCGAUAAGGUUAAUAACCUUGUCGAUUGACGUUACCCGCAGAAGAAGCACCGGCUAACUCCGUGCCAGCAGCCGCGGUAAUACGGAGGGUGCAAGCGUUAAUCGGAAUUACUGGGCGUAAAGCGCACGCAGGCGGUCUGUCAAGUCGGAUGUGAAAUCCCCGGGCUCAACCUGGGAACUGCAUUCGAAACUGGCAGGCUAGAGUCUUGUAGAGGGGGGUAGAAUUCCAGGUGUAGCGGUGAAAUGCGUAGAGAUCUGGAGGAAUACCGGUGGCGAAGGCGGCCCCCUGGACAAAGACUGACGCUCAGGUGCGAAAAGCGUGGGGGAGCCAAACAGGAUUAGAUACCCUGGUAGUCCCCCGCCCGUAAAACGAUGUCGACCUUGGAAGGUUUGUGGCCCUUUGAAGGCGUGGCUUUCCCG